rnacentral:rRNA from 1 species
UCCCGCAACGAGCGCAACCCUCGUCCUUAAUUGCCAUCAUUUAGUUGGGCACUCUAAGGAAACCGCCGGUGAUAAGCCGGAGGAAGGUGGGGAUGACGUCAAGUCCUCAUGGCCCUUACAGGCUGGGCUACACACGUGCUACAAUGGCGGUGACAGUGGGCAGCAAACUCGCGAGGGUGAGCUAAUCUCCAAAAGCCGUCUCAGUUCGGAUUGUUCUCUGCAACUCGAGAGCAUGAAGGCGGAAUCGCUAGUAAUCGCGGAUCAGCAUGCCGCGGUGAAUACGUUCCCAGGCCUUGUACACACCGCCCGUCACACCAUGGGAGUUGGAUUCACUCGAAGGCGUUGAGCUAACCCGCAAGGGAGGCAGGCGACCACAGUGGGUUUAGCGACUGGGGUGAAGUC